rnacentral:rRNA from 1 species
CGUAGGUGGCAAGCGUUGUCCGGAUUUGCUGGGCGUAAAGCGCGCGCAGGCGGAUGGUUAAGUAGGAAGUGAAAGGUUGGAGCUCAACUCCAACAUUGCUCCCUAUACUGGCCGUCUUGAGUCCCGGAGAGGAAAGCGGAACGACACGUGGAGCGGUGAAAUGCGUUGAUAUGUGUCGGAACACCAAUGGCGAAGGCAGCUUUCUGGACGGGUACUGACGCUCAGGCGCGAAAGCCGAGGUAGCGAACAGGAUUAGAUACCCUGGUAGUCUCGGCCCUAAACGAUGAUCACUAGGUGUCGGGGGGUUUCCCUCGGUGCCGCAGCUAACGCAUUAAGUAUCCCGCCUGGGGAGUACGGUCGCAAGGCUG